AUCGCUUCUCGGGCCUUUGGCUAGAUCAAUGUAGUAUCUGUUCUUAUCAGUUUAAUAUCUGAUACGUCCCCCAUCUGGGGGCCAUAUAUUAAAUUUAUUUUGGGAAAAGGAGAUGGAAUAGGGGGUUGUCCGUCCACUCCACGUGUCACCUGGGAUUGCAGUACUUCCAGGAGCUGGUGCACUUUCU